GCUGGGAUGGCCGAGUCGUUAAGGCGAGUGAUUUGAAUCAUUCUAUCUUCCCAUCUUAUCACUUGGUGUUUCACCGCGUAGGUUCAAAUCCUGCUCCCAGCG
rnacentral:tRNA from 1 species